rnacentral:rRNA from 1 species
AUUGAACGCUGGCGGCAUGCCUUACACAUGCAAGUCGAACGCGAAAGGGGGGCAACUCCUGAGUAGAGUGGCGCACGGGUGAGUAAUGCAUCGGAACGUGUCCUGUAGCGGGGGAUAACCUAGCGAAAGCUAGGCUAAUACCGCAUACGCCCUGAGGGGGAAAGUGGGGGAUCGUAAGACCUCACACUAUAGGAGUGGCCGAUGCCGGAUUAGCUAGUUGGUGGGGUAAAGGCCUACCAAGGCGACGAUCCGUAGCUGGUCUGAGAGGAUGAUCAGCCACACUGGGACUGAGACACGGCCCAGACUCCUACGGGAGGCAGCA